AGAAAAGAAGCCAGGCACGACUGCACGAUUCUAUAACCCAGCUGCAGGAAGGACUGAGCCUGGAGGUUCAAGAUCUUGACGAAGAUCAGCCUGAGAAGCAAGGGCAUUAACUGAUCUGGAAGAUGAACAGCAACAAAAGUCGUCCUUAUUAUUUCAAAAUGGGAUUGACAACCGGUUAAAUUUCUACCUAUCACUCUAAGAUCAAGAGAGCGAAUGUUAAUGGCUCUGGUUAACUAUCCAGUGUUGAUUCGGUUCCAGUUUAUGGACCCCGGUUUUCAAACAGGCCAGGAAUCAAUUUUGGCCUUGGUUUAUAGAACUGUCCUUUGCCUCCAUAUAUCUAUGGAGCUCAUGGGUAUAAGAAGACUUGGAACAAGAAGACUCGGAACACCACAGACAAGCAGUCUUCAAUUGGGCAGGAACAGAAUGAAACCACCUCAGCAUUAACAUCAACCUCAAGUACCAAUGCACUCUUGAACCAAAAACCCCUGCUCAUAGUCAACAGGGAAAAAGUGCUGGGAAUGGUGUGGCAUAUAUUGCAAUCCUAGUAGCCAACCUUCAAAGAUUUGGGGCAGGAAGAUCAAGGAGUUCAAGGCCAAUGAGCUACAAAGUGAAGCCUUGUCAGACAAAAACAUUUUUUUUAUUGUUUGUUGUUGUUUUGUUUUGGUGAAAAUAGACAGAGAAGCACAAGUCAUUCUUCCCAUACACUCUGGGUUAACACCUUUAAUUAACCUUUUAUUGCCAUAGAACUCCAAUGUAAGUGAUUAAUUGUUAAUUAUACAGCUAUGUUAUGUGUGUAUGUGUCUGUAUCCUGCAAAUGUAUCUGUGUAUUCAUACAUUUAUACUCUAAAUCACACACAUAUAUAUUCAUGAGUUCAUGGUUGGGGAAAUGG